rnacentral:lncRNA from 1 species
ACCGCCCCUGGCCUUAUAGUUUAUCUUCUAGUGGUCUUCUAUCCUCAUUUGAAAAUGUGAAAAGUGGGUACCUGAGAUAAUUCACUGACUCAUUGUUUCUUGGAACCAAAAUUGAUCUCAGAAGUGUAACCCUGUACUACUGAGAAGCUUAACCAAGGACAAAUACAAUCCCCUCACUCCACAGAUGGCUGACAUGAUGGUCUGUGACCUGAAAGUUGUUGAAUAGUUGGAGUGUUCUGCAUUCAUGUGGAAGAGGCUAAAGGAUGUUUGAUGAAGCACUAUGGGCUGCCCUGGAAGAGGACUGAAGAAGCAGCUGCAGGAAAGAAACGUCCACUCUGCUCCAGUCAACCCCACUGCUGGUGUCCUCUGCACUGCCUUGCACUCCCUGAAGAGAGCCUGGGCAACAGAGCGAGACUCCAUCUCAAAAAAAAAAAAAAAAAAAAAAAAAAAUUGGGGACUAUGUAUAUAGAUUUACUACACUGAAGCCCUCCAGCAGUCUAAGAACUGAUGCCUCUAACGAAGGAAAGGACUGCAUGUUUCUGAUGAAGCUACCAUGACCUACCAGAUUUCCAACGCCUGCCAAAAUUAAUCUAUUUGUCUGUGGUAGAAGAGGCCAUACCAUUGUGGCCCUUGAAACUUACUGUAUGAUGUUUUAUUUAGUGAACAGUUCACAUACCCAAAUGGUUGUAACUGAUACUGCUGAAUAUAUUGUAAGAACAGAAGUGUUAAGUAUGUAUAACACUUCUUUUGAUUGUAAGGAAUGUUCCCAGUGGGGAAAUGCCAUAAUUAAAACAGUGAUCGUGGGAUGAAUACACGAUUAAGAGCUUACCUUCAUAAUAGUAAAACAGUACAGGAUGCCAGAAGGAAGGGAGGAGAGGGGAUAAUACCACUAUACUGAUGAAGUAGCUAGAAGAAAGAGGAGUGCUUAAGGAAACUAUCCAGCAGGCUAUUGAGACUGACCUCUCAUUUGGAACAGUUCUAGUGAGCCUUUUCAGCUACAAGUGACGGUGACUGACAGUUACACUGAUUGGAGCCUGUGGCAAUAGGCAGUAAGUGCCAUUUAGGGUUUUGGGCACAGCAUUUGCCUGACACCGCUGCCUGGUAUACUCCAUUUAAGCAGCAAUUGUUGGCUUGUUAGUGAGUGCUUUUGGACACUUAGAC